rnacentral:tRNA from 1 species
CUCAAGGUAGUCUAUUUAAGGAUAAGGGUUUGUCUGACUCUAGGAGGUUACGCUUGAGU